CGAACCAAAAAUCCCAGGGACGAGCUCCAUCUUUUCCAAAACCCUAGAUUCUACAAAUUCACUUAAAAUCAAAGAAUCAAAACCGAAUUGAAGGUGAUUCAAGGCUAAAUAAGUGAUCUUCAUCCUUAGUGUAUCAAAAGGUGAUUUGUGUGGAUCAUCGAGUGGGCAAGGCGGAUCGGAUAACCACUUAAAAGGAAAGCUUUGAAAGGUAGCUCAUGGAAUGCGUCGGAUGUGGAUCAAGCUAGUGCAAGGACAAAACACACAACUUAUAAAAGCUUCCGCUAAUAAACUAGUUUCUUUUGUUACCAAACUUAUGUGUAAUAAUUAUAAUAGU